CAGUCGCCACGGGAAUACAGAGGGUGCGAGCGUUAAUCGGAUUUACUGGGCGUAAAGCGUGCGUAGGCGGCUUCUUAAGUCAGAUGUGAAAUCCCUGAGCUUAACUUAGGAAUUGCAUUCGAUACUGGGAAGCUAGAGUAUGGGAGAGGAUGGUAGAAUUCCAGGUGUAGCGGUGAAAUGCGUAGAGAUCUGGAGGAAUACCGAUGGCGAAGGCAGCCAUCUGGCCUAAUACUGACGCUGAGGUACGAAAGCAUGGGGAGCAAACAGGAUUAGAUACCCCGGUAGUCCCUGUCUCUUAUAC
rnacentral:rRNA from 1 species